rfam:Aspergillus fumigatus Af293 chromosome 7, whole genome shotgun sequence.
GCCCUGCUGGCGCAAUGGUAGCGCGUCAGACUUCUAAUCUGAAGGUUGUGGGUUCGACCCCCACGUAGGGCU